rnacentral:lncRNA from 1 species
AGAGGCAGGAUUGGGUUCCUCCAGGCAGAUACGUCAGAAGGACAAUGUGCAGAGUGUAUUGGUGAGAGAUGGACUGAGGUAUUGACCAUGUGACCUGACUGGAUAAAGAAUUAAGUCAAGACAGCAAAAGGCUGAUAAUAUUCAGAGAAAACGAGUCCAGUUUUAACAGAGUCUAGGUUCCUGAGGGACGAACGGUGUCGGCGAAGAGAUUGAGACUGCAUAGCAAGUUGGUGGAAGGGGCGAGGCUUGGGUUAUGUUGGAGGACGGAACAAGUCUUGGGGCAAAGGCGAGUCAAGGUAUGUUGAGACCAGUAGGAUCUUCUGACAAUGGAGGCAGGAGAGUUUUAUGAUUCAAUAAACCGGCUGCUGUCCAAGGGACAUGAAUUCUCUGCAGCAGGGAUCCAGGAGACAUCUGCAAUGGACACUGCAUAGGAACCUGUGCAGCUGGCAGAGCCUGAUUACAGAGCCCUGGAAAGUAGGAGGAGUUGUAAGGGACAGCAAAGCAAAUCUUUCUGCUUUUCCUGGCUGCCUCUACUAAAUUCACUUCCUGGCUUUCAGCAUUUACACAAGUGACCUGUAUAACUCUCGCUGGGUCAGGCCUCAGUGCCCCCCUCUUACCAGAUAUUGUUCAGGAAAAAGACACCAACCGUCUCAGAGAAG